rnacentral:tRNA from 1 species
UCCAGAGUGGCAUAGUGGUUGAGUGUUAGACUCCAACUCUGGAGACCAGGGUUCAGUUCCCAGCUUAGCCA